UACGUAGGUGGCAAGCGUUGUCCGGAUUUACUGGGCGUAAAGGGCGUGCAGGCGGUCUGUUAAGUUCGGGGUGAAAGCUCCCGGCUCAACUGGGAGAGGUCCUUGGAUACUGGCAGACUUGAGGGAGGUAGAGGAGAGUGGAAUUCCCGGUGUAGUGGUGAUAUGCGUAGAUAUCGGGAGGAACACCAGUGGCGAAGGCGGCUCUCUGGGCCGUUCCUGACGCUGAGACGCGAAAGCGUGGGGAGCGAACCGG
rnacentral:rRNA from 1 species